rnacentral:rRNA from 1 species
AUUGAACGCUGGCGGCAUGCUUUACACAUGCAAGUCGAACGGCCGCGCGGGCUUAGGCCUGGCGGCGAGCGGCCAACGCGUGAGCAAUGCCUCGGACCCUGCCCAGUAGUGGCGGAUACCCCGGCGACAACCGGAGUAAUACCGCAUACGAUCAGGCUGCGAUAGCGGGGGACCUGAGACCCUCGCGCUAUCGGAGCGGCCGUUGCCGGAUUAGCUAGUUGGUGGGGUAAAGGCUUAACAAGGCCACGAUCCGUAACUGGUGUGAGAGGACGACCAGCCACCUGGGGAGUGGGACUCGCCCCAGACUCCUGCGGGAGGGAGCAGUCAGGAAUUUUGGACAAUGGGGGCAAACCUGAUCCAGCCAUGCCCCGUGCGGGAAGAAGGCCUCCGGGUUGUAAACCACUUUUGUUCGGGAAGAAACCCGCUGGCCUAAUACCCCGGGAUGAUGACGGUACCGGAAGAAAAAGCACCGGCUAACUACGUG